rnacentral:lncRNA from 1 species
CUUCUGCUAGCUGCAUGCGAGCCCGGCUUGGUUAUAAAUACCUUGCGGAUCCCAGAUCCAAAGCAUAAACACCAUCGCCAUUGCAAGCUCCAUCUGAGAGCAGCAGCAACCACCAUUAGAGACACACUUAGUUGCCAGUGCGACUAAGCUAGCUAGCUCGAGGAAGAUGGAGGUGGAGUCGAGCUCGCAUGGCGCCGGCGACGAGGCUGCGAGCAAGUUCUCGCUGCCCGUGGACUCGGANNNN